rnacentral:rRNA from 1 species
AUGACGGAUUUAAACUUACCUUCUAUUUUCGUGCCUUUAGUAGGCUUAGUAUUUCCGGCAGAAGAACUUGACAAGUUUCCAACAAUUAAAGAUCCAGAUCACAAAAUUGCAUUUCAAUUAUUUGUGAAAGGAUAUCAAUUGCUAGAACCCUCGAUAAAAGAAAGAGAUGCUGAGCUUUUUCGAGUUGCUCAAUGGUCCCUCUACGCAAUUCUUCUGAAUUUCAAAUAG